GGCCCCUUGGCGGAAUCGGCAGACGCAGCGGAUUUAAAAUCCGCGGCCCGAGAGGGUGUUCGGGUUCAAAUCCCGAAGGGGCCA
rnacentral:tRNA from 1 species